UCACUCAAUAAAUUACACUUGUGUAACCACAAAUGCCACAGGAGGGGAUAGGGGUCAGAUAGGCAGCAGGGAGCCCUGAAGACAUGGGUUUUUUGAUCUUGCCACACAUAUCAGUGCAGGAGAGGGGUGAAUUGCUGCCCCAGGAAUUCCCACAACCUCCCCUCUAGCAGCAGUUGCUUUCCCACUUGCCCUACUUCUGCAGUAGGACUCGAAGGCAAAGGAAGUUGCUGAGCCCUGCAAGAGCUAAAACCAUUGAUUCAUCAAAGAUCGAUGCCGUGGACAGAGAGUCUCCUGUGAUCUUGACUGACCCACCUCUGGCUAACAAAUGGAACAGCACAGUGUCUCCAAUAAGGACCAGACAGGCACAGAUCCCAGCAAAUGAGGAUGUAUCCCAGAAUCACUCUAAGAAGCAUGGAAAUCGAGGAAAAAACACUGGGGCCAGGCUUGCAGGUAGGUCCAGGGAUCAGCUAGAGGAGGAAGGGACCAGGUAAAUGAAGGUUCAUCAGUGCUCCUGUC
rnacentral:lncRNA from 1 species